GACGAACGCUGGCGGCGUGCUUAACACAUGCAAGUCGAACGGAAAGGCCCUGCUUUUGUGGGGUGCUCGAGUGGCGAACGGGUGAGUAACACGUGAGUAACCUGCCCUUGACUUUGGGAUAACUUCAGGAAACUGGGGCUAAUACCGGAUAGGAGCUCCUGCUGCAUGGUGGGGGUUGGAAAGUUUCGGCGGUUGGGGAUGGACUCGCGGCUUAUCAGCUUGUUGGUGGGGUAGUGGCUUACCAAGGCUUUGACGGGUAGCCGGCCUGAGAGGGUGACCGGCCACAAUGAGGCUGAGAUACGGCCCAGACUCCUACGGGAGGCAGCAGUGGGGAAUAUUGCACAAUGGGAGGACGCCUGAUGCAGAAACGCCGCGUGCGGGAUGACGGCCUUCGGGUGGUAAACCGCUUUCGCCUGUGACGAAGCGUGAGUGACGGUAAUGGGUAAAGAAGCACCGGCUAACUACGUG
rnacentral:rRNA from 1 species